rnacentral:rRNA from 1 species
CAGGAUGAACGCUAGCUACAGGCUUAACACAUGCAAGUCGAGGGGCAGCAUGGUCUUAGCUUGCUAAGGCCGAUGGCGACCGGCGCACGGGUGAGUAACACGUAUCCAACCUGCCGUCUACUCUUGGACAGCCUUCUGAAAGGAAGAUUAAUACAAGAUGGCAUCAUGAGUCCGCAUGUUCACAUGAUUAAAGGUAUUCCGGUAGACGAUGGGGAUGCGUUCCAUUAGAUAGUAGGCGGGGUAACGGCCCACCUAGUCUUCGAUGGAUAGGGGUUCUGAGAGGAAGGUCCCCCACAUUGGAACUGAGACACGGUCCAAACUCCUACGGGAGGCAGCAGUGAGGAAUAUUGGUCAAUGGGCGAGAGCCUGAACCAGCCAAGUAGCGUGAAGGAUGACUGCCCUAUGGGUUGUAAACUUCUUUUAUAAAGGAAUAAAGUCGGGUAUGGAUACCCGUUUGCAUGUACUUUAUGAAUAAGGAUCGGCUAACUCCGUGCCAGCAGCCGCGGUAAUACGGAGGAUCCGAGCGUUAUCCGGAUUUAUUGGGUUUAAAGGGAGCGUAGAUGGAUGUUUAAGUCAGUUGUGAAAGUUUGCGGCUCAACCGUAAAAUUGCAGUUGAUACUGGAUAUCUUGAGUGCAGUUGAGGCAGGCGGAAUUCGUGGUGUAGCGGUGAAAUGCUUAGAUACCACGAAGAACUCCGAUUGCGAAGGCAGCCUGCUAAGCUGCAACUGACAUUGAGGCUCGAAAGUGUGGGUAUCAAACAGGAUUAGAUACCCUGGUAGUCCACACGGUAAACGAUGAAUACUCGCUGUUUGCGAUAUACGGCAAGCGGCCAAGCGAAAGCGUUAAGUAUUCCACCUGGGGAGUACGCCGGCAACGGUGAAACUCAAAGGAAUUGACGGGGGCCCGCACAAGCGGAGGAACAUGUGGUUUAAUUCGAUGAUACGCGAGGAACCUUACCCGGGCUUAAAUUGCAGAUGAAUUACGGUGAAAGCCGUAAGCCGCAAGGCAUCUGUGAAGGUGCUGCAUGGUUGUCGUCAGCUCGUGCCGUGAGGUGUCGGCUUAAGUGCCAUAACGAGCGCAACCCUUGUUGUCAGUUACUAACAGGUUCCGCUGAGGACUCUGACAAGACUGCCAUCGUAAGAUGUGAGGAAGGUGGGGAUGACGUCAAAUCAGCACGGCCCUUACGUCCGGGGCUACACACGUGUUACAAUGGGGGGUACAGAGGGCCGCUACCACGCGAGUGGAUGCCAAUCCCCAAAACCUCUCUCAGUUCGGACUGGAGUCUGCAACCCGACUCCACGAAGCUGGAUUCGCUAGUAAUCGCGCAUCAGCCACGGCGCGGUGAAUACGUUCCCGGGCCUUGUACACACCGCCCGUCAAGCCAUGGGAGCCGGGGGUACCUGAAGUGCGUAACCGCGAGGAGCGCCCUAGGGUAAAACUGGUGACUGGG